GGCUUGUUAGCUCAAUUGGUAGAGCACUGCACCGGCAUCGCAGAGGUCAUGGGUUCAAAUCCCAUACGGGCCU
rnacentral:tRNA from 1 species